UGGGAAGUAUCAGCGCAGAGCCAUUUUCAGAUCUCUCCAGAGAUGUUACCAGAUCUUACCAUCGUAAAGUUCGAGUGCACUUCCUGGCUGCAACCAGCAGAGGUGAAAAAGAACAAGACAUCAGCUCUGGGAAGUUGAACUUCAUUCACAGAGACCCCAAGGGGCACUAAAAACACAAUGAAGAGCUCCAAGAGCAAUGACAUCAUGUUGGACUGAAUUGCACACACACACACACACACACACACACGGUUCUAUUUAAAGCAGGUUUGGGGAUGCACAAGCAUGCCCUCGCCCGUGCUUGUGGUUUGAUUGUCAGACUGAGGGGUCAAAGGGUAACUAUUUGUGCGACCAAUGGAGGUCAGCAUCAGUGUGGACUCCUGCAAGAGCACUCGAACACCACCUGAAUGACAAAUGAAUUCUGACCCUCCUGCCGAUGACCCCCUUUCGAUGGCACACAACAUCUCUUUAUCUGCUAUGUACGUGUCAAAGCUGAUGUUUUUAUGUUCCAUGUUGUUUUUCCCAUCAUAGAAAUCUAUUGCCUCUGGUUCAAGUCCACAAACACUGUUGCCAAAACAGAAAAUAGUUCUUGGUGCAAUCUAACAACAUGCUGUUGUUUGACAGCCCAUAAAGAACGAAAAGCAGCUCUGCUGUCCGACUCCUGGAAUUCUACAAAUCUAACUUUGGAGUGAGUCAUGACGCAGGCCAGGACAGGAGAUGGUUAUCAUUAUUCAAAAGACAAUAAUUAGCCGGCUCCCUAAUGAGCUAAUUUUGAGCUGCGUCAGCCUGUGCAUUCUCAUUUAGCCAUAUCACUGCAGACAUGGACGGAGUCUUUUAACGGCUUAGCCAUCAGCAAUUACUAUACAGCACUGAUAGCGGACUUCCAGUGUGGCCAUUGUGCAAAGUUAGCUCUGUGCAUGUGUGUGUCGUCCUGUUGCACGACUUUAAAGCGCGUGAUGGAUGGAUAAAAGCACAUGACCGCCGCCGUCGGACAGGGGAGGUAUUGAGGCAUUGUGAUUGGAGGUCAUGGGAUCGUCCAGAGAGAAGGGGUGUCUCACUUUCAUGAUUAACCAAAAGUCAAAAAGGAUUUCCUUUCCUAAACAGAGACCACAAUCAUAUGAGGCCACCAGGCAGGUGGGCCAUCUCCCUCGCUCCGUUGCCGGCAGCUGCUGUGUUUGGGAGAUAAAAAUGACCGAAACCUGUGUCAACAGUUGGGGAAAAGCAUCCCUCACUACGUUGUUACUUUGUAAAAGUGAUAAAAAUAAAACCAUGGCUGUGGCCUCCACCCCAAACUAUUCUGUUUUUCCUGACCGGGAGGGUCGUUGUCGGCCAGAGCCACAGACCAAGCCAACACACAUCAAGGGCAGCACUUUCCUAGCCUUCAUUUUCACCCCCUGACUUUUCCUGUUUUGACAGGAAACAGGAGAUGAUAACACAGCCACACAAACAAGCAACAAUCACCUCCAACUUGCUGCAAUGGACAUGGACUUACUUUCAAAGGGCCUUACGUCCAGACACAGAAAAAAGACCUAAACAAGGACAUAGAUAUUGGGUUACACCUACUGCAUUUGUUUCUCUCCUUAAAGUACCAGUAGAGUGGAAAAACAUGUUGACUUUUUAUGCUUAAUUGUGGUUCAUUGUAUCCAUUAAAACAUAUCCAAUUUUAUUUACAAUCCGCAAAGUAUGUAAAAACAAAGUUUAACAUCACAAAAUGCACCAAAUUCAGUCAGCCAUUUUUAAUAUUCUGCUCCGAAUACCUUUGGCUAGUUCAGGAGGGAUUUUUUCUGCACUCUGACCAUAUUUUAGAUCAGUCAUACUGGAAAUAUGCAAAUAUUAGACAGAGAUGUGCUGUUUAUAAUUCAGAAUCCUUAUAUAAGACAUGAACGAUUAUGUUUUUUAUGCAUUUUAACUAAAUAAAUAAAUAAAAAGUAAUCUAACAAUGGCGGCUUCACGGUGGAAGAGGGGUUAUUGCGUCUGCCUCACAAUACGAAGGUCCUGCAGCCCUGGGUUCAAAUCCAGGCUCGGGAUCUUUCUGUGUGGAGUUUGCAUGUUCUCCCCGUGAAUGCGUGGGUUCCCUCCGGGUACUCCGGCUUCCUCCCACCUCCAAAGACAUGUACCUGGGGAUAGGUUGAUUGGCAACACUAAAUUGGCCCUAGUGUGUGAAUGUGAGUGUGAAUGUUGUCUGUCUAUCUGUGUUGGCCCUGCGAUGAGGUGUCGACUUGUUCAGGGUGUAACCCUGCCUUCCGCCCGGUUGUAGCUGAGAUAAGCGCCAGCGCCCCCCGCGUCCCCAAAAAAAAGGGAAUAAGCGGUAGAAAAUGGAUGGAUGGAUGGAUGGAAUCUAACAAUGUAAUCAAUGGGGGCUCUCUAUUUUGCCCACAAAACCCUCUAAAUAACCAACAAUAUUCUCUAUACGUAUCGUUACCUGAAUAUUAACCAAAUAUUAGCAAUUUUAUUAUAAGCGCUAACGCGAACAAACUAUUUCUUGAUACAGAUACAGACAGCUAAGUAGCCCUUUACUGUGAGCCAGCAGCGAUUACUAGCUGCUCCCGCAUAAUCGCGCCUCUGCUCGUCAAAGUUAUUCUACAUUAUGAAUCUCAUGCCACUCAUCUGUAUAGAAGGAGGAUUUAGCCUUGAAUCUGAAUCUGUUCAUCUGUGACAUUUAAUUCAUGCUUGGAGAUGGAGACAAACACACACAACCAAAGAUGGUGUCUGCAGGGAGACUUCCUUGUUAACUUUGUGUGCGUCAUAAAUAAUUGUUCAUCUGAAUGAGAAAAUAUGGACAUCCUCUCAGCCUUCAUCGAACUAGGAGAAGACAUUGUACAGUAAACCAGUGGUUCUCAAAUGGGGGUACGCGUACCCUGGGGGUACUUGAAGGUAUGACAAGGGGUACGUGUGAUUUUUUUUUUAAAUCCUAAAAA